GGGCUAUUAGCUCAGGUGGUUAGAGCGCACCCCUGUUAAGGGUGAGGUCCCUGGUUCGAGUCCAGGAUGGCCCA
rnacentral:tRNA from 1 species